ACGAACCUACGGGAGGCAGCAGUGAGGAAUAUUGGUCAAUGGACGCAAGUCUGAACCAGCCAUGCCGCGUGCAGGAAGACGGCUCUAUGAGUUGUAAACUGCUUUUGUACGAGGGUAAACGCAGAUACGUGUAUCUGUCUGAAAGUAUCGUACGAAUAAGGAUCGGCUAACUCCGUGCCAGCAGCCGCGGUAAUACGGAGGAUUCAAGCGUUAUCCGGAUUUAUUGGGUUUAAAGGGUGCGUAGGCGGCGCUUCAGGUCAGCGGUGAAAUACCGGGGCUCAACCCCGGGGCUGCC
rnacentral:rRNA from 1 species